rfam:Oryza brachyantha chromosome 3, whole genome shotgun sequence.
AAUAACCUCAUUUUUCGUUUUUCCGUGUCCAACGUUUGACCAUUCGUCUUACUUAAAAAUUUUUUACGAUUAAUAUUUUUAUUAUUACUAGAUACUAAUUUUUUAGGUUUUUGCACAAGUUUUUUAAAUAAGACGAAUGGUCAAACGUUAGACACGGAAAAGC